rfam:TPA: Bos taurus chromosome 5, whole genome shotgun sequence.
UCCCGGGUGGCUCAGAUGGUCAAGAAUCUGCCUGCGAUGCAGGAGACCUAGGUUUGAUCCCUGGUUCGGGAA